rnacentral:rRNA from 1 species
UACGUAGGGGGCAAGCGUUGUCCGGAAUCAUUGGGCGUAAAGCGCGUGUAGGCGGCUCGUUAUGUCGGAUGUGAAAGCCCUUGGCUUAACCGAGGAAGUGCAUCCGAAACUGGCGAGCUAGAGUACUAAAGAGGAUCGCGGAAUUCCCGGUGUAGAGGUGAAAUUCGUAGAUAUCGGGAGGAACACCGGUGGCGAAGGCGGCGAUCUGGGUAGAUACUGACGCUGAGGUGCGAAAGCGUGGGGAGCAAACAGG